UACCAGCACCCCGAGUGGUCGGGACGGAUUAUUGGGCCUAAAGCAUCCGUAGCUUGUUCUGCAAGUCCUCCGUUAAAUCCACCUGCUCAACAGAUGGGCUGCGGGGGAUACUACAGGGCUAGGAGGCGGGAGAGGAAACGGUACUCAGUGGGUAGGGGUAAAAUCCUCUGAUCCGACUGAAGACCACCAGUGGCGAAGGCGGUUUGCCAGAACGCGCUCGACGGUGAGGGAUGAAGCUGGGGGAGCAAACCGG
rnacentral:rRNA from 1 species